GAGGGUUUUUGGCAUUCAGAGACAGAGAGAGAUAGAGAGAGAGAGAGAGAGAGAGCGAAUUCAAUUUCUGAGAUUUCUUGAAAUUCUCUGGAAAUUUUCCGAUCUGACGUACGUCGUAAUUCAAUAAAAUUUCACAGAAAUUCGCCAUUUUUGUCGAUCGAUCGCCUCGAAAAUCGAAAAUUCGAGAAAAAUCGGUUCUUGGGAGAAGCUAUUGGGAGAUGUCUGUGAUUCAAAUUUGGUUGACGUUUCUUCAUUAAGAGCUUAAGCUGGUGAUAUUCAGAGGUAUUGAAAUGAAUCCGAGUAAUGGAUCAGUGACGUGGCAUUGAAUGCCAAGGACUACUUUUCCAUUUGAAGACUGUCAAUGGAUCCAGUUUGAAUUAUUCUUUUCCAGACGUUUCUCUGAGAUAUGGUGUUGCAGAAGAGGUUGGACUAUGGCUUUAAUGGCUACCAGGUGCCUGCUAUGCCCCGUGGUUCAAGAUCAGCUAGGGGGAAGCGUUCGUGUAGAAGGGAAGUUGACGGCAAUCAGAUGUGUGCAUUUGACUUACUGGCCACCGUAGCAGGCAAGUUAUUACUCGAGAAAGAAAGCUCUCCGACUCCUACCAUUAAACAGGAAAAACAGGACGAAGAGAAACUGUUUAAACAAGAACCUUGUGACCAAGGAAGCUGCGAUGAGAGCACAAUUGCCUCAAAAGUUAGCUUGCAAAGGCAUGGCCAGAACUGUGCUCCAAAGGAAUACUCUCACGCUCAUGAUGAUUUGACCGUGGGAUGCGCUUCGGUAAUUACAAAGUCUAAUGGACCAGAGAACACUUGUGCUGAAGGGUUGAUAGUUGAAAAAAGCUUGGAACUUGGAAAUUUUCCUGGCACGAUCCAUGGAAAGUGCCAGGUUGAGAAAGGUUUCCCUGGGAGUGCAGAGUCUCGUGAUGGCAAGGUAGAGGGGCAAACGGGGAGACAAUUUGAAACGGAGCAGAAAAGUGCAAUAAAUGGAAUGGGCCUGGAUUCAUGCAGCUCAGAGGAGCCUGUGGAGUUGGAUACAAAGCCCCCUCCAUUAGUUAGUUCAGACAGCAGCGUUGAGGUGCCUUUGUAUGGGAACCACAUUCCUUGUAGUUCUUUUGCCAGGUAUCAAGAUGAUGCGAAAGUAGUUAGUAGAGAUGAUGACGAAAACUCUUCUGGGUGCACUCAACCUAGCACCAUAACCUCAAAGGCCUUCAGGCCUCCAUGCGUUGGAGACCGGAGGAUAAGAAAGCAAUUGGCAACCAAGCACCGAAAAGUAUCUCCAAAGUUGUUGAGAGAUGGGGAACUUUCUAACACUGAUUCGGACACGAAGCCUGUUUUCCGUAGUAGGAAAACAUGUUACACACGCCAAAGGACUCAGAGGUGUAAUCCUUUUAAGAGAAGGAGGCUCUUUGAGUCAAGAUCAAUGUCGACAUCCGAUGGGGGAAUCAGUAGUGAAGGCAUUUCUAAUUCACCUGAGAAGAUUAUCAAUGGAGAAGUGACCGGCUCCAGUCCAACAAUGCAUCGAGCAUGUGCGGCUUCAUCUCCAGUGGCAGGUCAAAAAUCAUCUUUUGAAAAUGGGGAUCUGCAUGUGAAGCUCAAUAUCAAGUCUUUCAGGGUACCAGAGCUCUUCAUUGAGAUUCCUGAAACUGCCACUGUUGGUUCGCUUAAGAGGACAGUUAUGGAAGCUGUGACCGCUGUACUUGGAGGCGGGCUGCGAAUUGGUGUUCUUCUUCAGGGUAAGAAGGUUAGAGAUGACAACAAAACGCUACUUCAGACAGGAAUCUCUCAUGAUGAUAAACUGGAUGGUUUGGGUUUUAUACUAGAGCCUAACCUUGCACAUUCUCCACCACCUCUGUGCCCGGAAAGUUCUCAGAGUCUACUUCCCUGUGACACAACUCAGCCACCACUGACCAGGUGCUUGCAAGUCCCUGCAUUGAAUCCAGGACCACCAUCCAAUGCUUCACCAGAUCCUCCGAUCUCUAAUUCAGGCAACUGUAUUGAAAGUGAUCACGAUUCAGUUCCCUCCCCUACUGACAUGUCAUUGGAGAAAACAACACCAAAUUCGAGAGCUUUGGUUCCUGUUCCUGCUAUGAGCAUGGAGGCACUGGCCAUGGUUCCCUUGCACCGGAAAUCAAGGCGUUCCGAACUUGUCCAGCGCCGCAUCAGGAGACCGUUUUCUGUCUCAGAAGUAGAAGCCCUUGUUCAAGCAGUUGAGAAGCUUGGAACUGGGAGGUGGCGGGAUGUUAAACUGCGUGCGUUUGAAAAUGCAAAGCAUCGAACGUAUGUUGAUUUGAAGAUUUCAGGUCGAAGAAAAAGGAAACGGGAGAACAAUUGCUGUUCGUGGAGGAUAUUGAAACUUUGCCCUUGAGAAAAUACCAAUAUGUUGGAGGACAUUGAAACUGGCCUCAAUAAUCUUCACCUCUCUGGUCUGGUGGUCUGCAGAUGCCAGCCCAGGCGUCUCCAUUGGCUGAAGCUUGGGACCCACUCUUUUUCUAUUUGGUGUGGAUCUACUCAGAUCAAAACAGAAUUGAGUUGAUUCUCUUUCAUCUAUCAGCCAGCCGGCUUUAAGGAACCUAACCUUCACAUUUCCUGUUGAGAUCCCAAGUCCCCAGGUGGGCCAUCCCAGCCACCCCAGUCAUCGGCUUUUCUAGAGGGUCCUGCGUCUGUGUUGUAGGACUUGUAGCUUGGCAGUCGGAAGUGGGCGGCCACGGAUGCAGUCCAGUCGUUUCCAUUAUCUGAAGGAUAAGUGGAAGACGUUGGUGCACACGGCGAGAAUCUCACCCCAGCAAAGGAGGGGAGAGCCUGUACCACAAGAGCUCCUGGACAGAGUCUUAUCUGCCCAUGCUUUCUGGUCUCAGCAGCAAGCUAAGGAGCAGCUC